UGAUGCUGAAGCUAUUUCUGUUUUUUACUUUUCCUUCUGACAGGCCCCUCUGCUGCAGGACUGCUAGAGGUCCACUUCAGACCCUGCCUGCCUGGGAAUCAUCUGCGGGGGCUGCAGAACUGCAAGGUUUACUGCCUGUUCUCUCCUCUGGUAGCUUCGUCCCAGAAGGGUACCCACCAGAUGUCAGCCAGAACUCUCAUGUAUGAGAGAUGCCCUGCCAGCAAGGAGGAAGUCUAGUCGCAGUCUGCCUGCAAAGGCGCUCCUGAGCUGCCAUAGGCUCCGUCCAGCUGCCGUGUAAACUUCCUCCAGAUUUUGUUUACACAGGGAAAGAACUUCUUCUGCCUUACUGUGAAGCAUUUCUCGAGUACGCUUAACUUCAAGUUUUAAAAGAUUGUCCUCUAUCAUCAAAUCCUAUCAACAAAAAAAAUGGUCAAAUGUUGAAAUUAUUUUUUAUCACAAAACCAAGAUAUUUUUCUUUUUAUUACUACAUAAGUCAAAAUUGAAAAUAUACCUUUUUCUAAUUUAAUCAUUGACCAAGAUAUUAACUAGGGCUGAAUUUAAAUUGUUCAGAGUCAUACGUUUUUUUCUUUUAGGAAAAGGGUUUAUGGUUAUUUCAAAUCUUUUUAUAAUUCAAUGUUAAAGUUAAGCUUUGCUAUUAUAAAAAACAAAAGGAAGAAGUGAUUCAUGAAAUUAAACUUAAUAAUAUCUAGAAAACAUAAAGUCCUAUGAAUGGCCAUUUUUAUACUCUGAGUCUCACAAAAUAAUGUGGAAAUAUAUUUUUAUCUUAAAACAAUUCGGUCACGAGUAGAAUACUGACAUAAGAAUACACAUAUCAAUCAGUUUUCAGAAUAGAAAGCCCAGAAUCAAACGCUCCAUAAUAUCAGAUUUUAUUAUUUCACAAACAUAGGUUUUCAGUUGGAGAGAUUAGAUACUUAUAUCUCACAUGUACCAAAAAUAUAUUCCAGAUGAAUGAAAAAUCUUAAGAGAUGAGACCAGUGUAACUACUAGACAUAAUAAACAUUGGACUUAUUUUUAGUGUAACCAAGAAGUUUCUAAGCAUAAAAAUUAAAAAGAAACCUAAAGAUUUGAUGUUUAAAGAAAAGUUUUAUGUCACAAACACUGA